rnacentral:lncRNA from 1 species
CCAACAACCCAAGGCCACUCUGUGUGGUGCAGACUAGAGACACAUAAGGGGCCUGAGUCCAGGAGGUGGUUAGCAUGAAGAGCGAGUGUGAACGAGCCACAGGCAUCCUUGGCUAUAAGAAGGCUGUCACCAUGGACACUGAGGAGUGGCACCUCCUGCUUGGAGCUUCUCGUGAAGCUGAACAAAUCUAGCCUGGCUUCACGCGUGCUCUAUGAAGUACCAAGAAUGAAAUCAGGCCAGAACAUUUUUAAAGAAGUCGGAUUUUUCAAGGACUAUCUUGGAUUUCCUUUUCUUUGUAUGUUUAAACAACCGUAGAUGUUGAGAAAUCCAAAGGACCUACUCAUAACACCACUCUGCAAAGUUGCCAGCUGCCUACAACUCUGAAGAUUUGUCCUAUGAUCAAGUACAAUCUGGACUUGGUCUUCUGUUCUAGACAUGGUGUUCAGGGAAAUUCCUUCCACAGUGUUCAUUGUAUUGAAGGGAAUAAUACAGCAAUAUGUGAUUGAUUGCUACGGCUGCUCUCACCAAGUUGCCCUGCAUUGCAUCAGCUGCCAGCAUAGGACAGGGCCAAAUAAAAAGCUUAGUAAGGCCAAUUGUAAGAAUAGUGACGUGGGCUUAUUUGAAGAUCAAAACUACAGCAUCCUGUAAAUCUGUAAUUGCUCUUGAAAUUAUCUCCUAAGAUACAAGUUUUCUAAGAGUAUCUUUUAUGAUUUUCUUCUGCCCUUUGAGUCCAACAAAACCUGUGUGUUAGUAAAGAACACAUUCCUUGCUAAUGCUAAGAACUGUUGCCAGGAGAAAGCCAUAGUCAACAUCUCUAGAAGACUUAUUGGAUUACAGAAUAGGGCUCACUGGCACCCGUGUGAAAGUCUUGGCUUUGACAGUGUGGGUGGCGUUAUUUUAACCACAGAACACCCUGCACUGUGAUUCUUAUUGUAAACCAAAGGUCUGUGGCAUCAAACUUCAGUACGGUCUCUAUUUGGGAUGUGAGCCUGCCAAAUGUGCACAUGGCAAAUGUGUUUUAUUCAAACAGCUCUGGGGGGAAAGAGAGCUCACAUUUGGAUAGUGCGCAUCUGUUUUCCCAUCUGGUUCUCAUAACAACUGUGUGCAGUGACUGAGUCAGAGUUUAUCAUUGGCUUGUUUGAAGGUGGAGAAAUGGAGAGUCAGUAAGUGAAAGGAAUUUACCAGAAUUGUAAGGCAAGUAGGAAGCAGCUAAGAUCAAAACUCGCAGCUUUCAGCCCAGACUCUCAUGGUAGUACCAGUGUGGUAAUUUCUUCACAAUGAAAACAGACAUUAUAGUUAAGGGUUCAGUUUGAAAGAUCAAAAUAGACCCCAACCCCCCCCAAGCCACAGUGAAAGCCAACAUUUCACUGCUGGAGCUAGAUUUGUUAAUUUCUCUCACCAGCCAGAGGGGUCUGGGUGGGUUUCCUGUAGCAGGGAUGUGUCCCCUCCUGUGGAGUGGUCCUCAAAUCCAAUCAGAAGGCAGUUAGUGACCUUUCCCCCAACCCCGCCUGCAAAGCACUCAUACCACCAAUUGCACGGUAGGCAUAUCUUGCUGGUAGGUUAAUGCUAUUGCACAAAAGCUUCAAAGCUGAGUAAGACUGUGAAGGUUCUCCUCCAGCAUUCUGCACAGCACCUUCUGGUUCUAUGGACAAUG